rnacentral:rRNA from 1 species
GAUGAACGCUAGCGGCAGGCCUAAUACAUGCAAGUCGAACGGGAUUGCGGUGUAGCUUGCUACACUGCAUGAGAGUGGCGCACGGGUGCGUAACGCGUGAGCAACCUACCCAUAUCAGGGGGAUAGCCCGGAGAAAUCCGGAUUAACACCGCAUGGGACAGUAUUACCGCAUGGUAUAGCUGUUAAAUAUUUAUAGGAUAUGGAUGGGCUCGCGUGACAUUAGCUAGUUGGUGGGGUAACGGCCCACCAAGGCGACGGUGUCUAGGGGCUCUGAGAGGAGAAUCCCCCACACUGGUACUGAGACACGGACCAGACUCCUACGGGAGGCAGCAGUAAGGAAUAUUGGUCAAUGGGCGGAAGCCUGAACCAGCCAUGCCGCGUGCAGGACGACUGCCCUAUGGGUUGUAAACUGCUUUUGUACGGGAAUAACCCUCUCUACGAGUAGAGAGCUGAACGUACCGUAAGAAUAAGGAUCGACUAACUCCGUGCCAGCAGCCGCCGUAA